CAGGAUGCAUCCCCACAGAGGCACGUCUACGAGAAUUAAUAUAAAAGAUAAUGUCUUUUUUGAGUUACCAGUCCACACAUGAACCUGACCCUUUCCUCAUCACUGCUGUCAUCUCAAGAGUCUUUGAUGAGGAACUUUGUUGAAAGUUUUUUGAAAGUCCAAGUAUAUAUAUAUCAAUUUGAUCACCUUUAUCUACAUGUCUGUUGACAUUCGCAAAUAACUCCAAAAGGUUCCAUCUAUUUUCCCCCAAUUCCUUAUUCUGUGUGCUGCAACCCUUGUUUCUUAGAAGUGGCUUCAGUCUGAUUUAACAGGUUCUGGAGGGUUACUUGCAGAACUCUUCCCCAUGU